GAACCUGAGCUUUGUGGAGCACAACAAAGAAACUCCACCUCCUCUUAUAAAAGGCUCUACUAGGAAGUAAAAAGGAAGGCAAAACUAUACAAGCCACUCACUCUAGUAUCUGUGAAGAGAUUGAAGAGGAAGCCACUGUUUCUAGAAUGAGUUUCUCAGGGAGUGAGGGAGCGUUGUCCCUUAAAAGGAGUUUUCCUGCAGAACAGGACACUGAACUUAAUAGGAUCACGACAGACUGACCAGUCUCACCUGUACCUAGCUGUGUCUCCAUGAAGAGUGACAGGUCUAUGCUACCUCCUAUUCACUUCAGGGAGGGAGACUUUUCCACUGAGCAAAGCUUUUAACAGGUUCAAGACAGACCGAACAGCAGUGUUGUUGUGUUAGAAACCACCUAAAGCGAGAACGAUCAUCCAAGACCGCAGCAAAUGGAGUCCGAGUCAAGACCAAGACCGGAGGUGGGGCGAGAGGUACGAAACAGAGUCAAGACCGAGACCAGAAAAAUGCAACUCCAAUUCAAGACCAUGAUUAGAAUUGUCAAAUAACCACCAUAAUUAGGGUUCAAAAUGUCCAGUAUUUCUGUGUUCAUAUUUCAGAACAACAUAUGGAUUCUUUAGACAUUCAGAAUAGGGAAAAAAUUCAUUCUGAGGGAAAAUAGAACCACUCUACAAAUUAUUACUAAACCAAACACAGUGGGGAACAAUGGGCCUUCUACGCCUUCAGAGAAGGGCUACGGAUUUUUUAAAUAAUUAUUAUAAUAAUAUAAUAAUGAUAAUUAUGUUAUUAUUUUCAAUUAUGUUCUGAUCGAAUCUCUUCAGUUUUUGUUGGAAAGGAAAUGGUUAACACUGAAGGGAAAAAAAGAUAGGCUGUUUCUUUGCUGGUCUCUGGGGGAUAAAGCUAGCUAAGUCAGCCAUUGGCUUGGCCAUCAGAAGCUAGAUAAAUGCAUCUGCCAUUCAACUGUAUUAUGGCAACAUUUUGGAGUUACAUUGGAAUCAACCAAUCACAUUUUGACUUAAUGGGUGGUACCGUUUUUACAAAAACUUAUGGAAACUUGGAUUUGAAGGCCAACAAGUUACUGCACCAUAGCUAGCAGUAGUUUUCUCCCGGUCUAGCUAGCUAGCUUUUGUUUUUGGCUAGUUUGAAGCGGCUGCAGCAGGUGUUAUCAAAGAGGAUGUUGCUGCUAAUUUGUUAGCAUUUCCCUUUUCAAGAAUAACUGUAAAGAAGUUUCAAAUUACCAUCUGGUCAGGGUAACUGUGUCUUAUUGCAGCAUGCUUGCUGUUAGCCAUCUCUUUGAAAAUAAGGCGUGAGUGAAACAUUGUUGCAUUUAAAGUGGAACUGUCAGAAUUUCAGCAACAUGAAAUCUUCUAAAAAUGUGGUCGUAUAACGUUAACUCACUCACUUUUGUACAUCGCCUUGGUCCGUACAAUUGACCUUAUUUUAGCGCCCCAAAAACGUAAUACUUCCAGAUCAACUGUAAUGUCAAUACCAUUGUAAAGCACAAUUUCUCCCCUUUCCAAAAAAAUCCAUCCCGAGACCUCCACGCUGCCGUUUCUGCAUGAUUCAAGAAGGCAAUGAGCUCCGUCGGGUCUUUUUAAAAAUGGCGGGUGGGGAAGCGAAAUUAAUGCGUGGUAGUGAGAAGGAGAGAUGUCGUGUGGGAAAAUUGCUUUUUUUCACUCGAUCUGUCCAACUUAUCACCUUAUCGCCUCUAAAAUGUAAAUAAAACACUAUAAAGAGUUUAUAUAAUGUGUCAUUACAUACCUAUUUGAAGGUUUGUGUCGAAUUUGAAUCGGGUUUUUAGGGCGGUGCUAAAGUGAUCUUCAGAAGUAAACAGUGGCUUUGAGAGUCAUGAUUGCUUGCAGUGAUGACGCAAAAAAUGACUAGGUAUUACCCGGUCACUGUCCAUUUCUUGUUUUUAAACGAUGAGAGAAGUGCUAUAUAUAAACUCUUUAUAGUGUUUUAUUUACAUUUUAGAGGCGAUGAGGUGAUAAAUUGGACAGAUCGAGUGAAAAAAAGCAAUUUUCCCCGUGCUACACCUGGUGCGGUGCUACACCUGGUGCGGUGCUACACCUGGUGCGGUGCUACACCUGGUGCGGUGCUACACCUGGUGGAGAGAGAGUGUAAGACAGAAAUAGUUGCUUUAUGCGUGCUGUACGUUACGGCAUGACACGAGGGUCAGUUUUUUCAACUUUUCUCCAAUACUAUAGAGCCAUUACCAUGUCGAUCAACGCUUGAAUAGAAACGUAGUUCACACCCCAGAUUUUGAAGUCAACACAGUCCCAUUAGUUUUCUUUGCAGCCUCGAUUGAAUGUCGCUGUUGCGCACAUUUGUACGGAAUGGUGUGAGUUUACGUUACACCCCCAGGAAGAAUUACACUUAAAUCUGAGAAGCCACAACUUAAAUGACCAUAGUGUUCAUAAAUUCUUAGAAUGUUUGGGAAUUACAAACAAAGGCAUGUGUAAAAAGUAUCUAGUAUUAUACAGUGGGAAAGCGCCCGUGCGUUUGGACAAUUAAGACACUGUAGCAUUGACGUCACCAGACCCAUGCUUUCGGGGCUCUAGCCCGGAAUGAUUUUGUCUCGACACCGAGUCUUUUGCCUUGUUGGAAUGAUGUAAAACAAACUAGGCUACACUGCAUAACAGGGUGAGUAUAACUUGUGGAACGUUCCAACAGGAAUCUGUUCCAAAAACGUUGUAAAUAACAAGGUUGCCAACAAACAAUUGCAUACAACGUUUUUAUAUAGCGGCAGAAUAAGAUAAGUUACCGGUUAGGGAGUGAGUUAUUUAAUAACGUUUUUCACUCACCACGUUUAUUCCGAAAAAUGUGUGUCCUCCAUCUGGUAGCCUACAAGAUAUUAUCGUUCAUUGGUUUAGUUAUUUUUUCCGGUGUGUCCGCAUUUGUCAGUGAACUGUGCCUCGAUUUGGCUAUUGCUGUGAUUAAAAAUGAGGUUAUGUCACUAAUAACUACUAGCUCCAAUAUUUUACUAGCUAGGUGGUUUGUACACAAUUGUUACCGAUGAUACUGUAUAUACCAGCCUACUCGUACUACAGAAACAUGAAUUGUAUUUUGCCAAGUUCUCUCUGUGUUAAUCCUGCUGCCCAAAUAUAUAGCAGUUAACUUGUCGAAGAUGUUGAGUUCAAUUUAAUAUAUGCUUUGACCUAGGUAACAUCACGAUGCUUGACACGCUACAGCUGCUUUUGAAUAACAUUCCUGUCGUUUGUGCUCUACAUUUCCGACUUGUACUGCACUUUUGAAUGUCUCUUGAUUGGACAUAUCUAACAUUGCUCUUUUUUAUUAGACACUAUAUGUAAAACAUGCAUUUGUUUAAUGUGUGUUAUCCUCCAUGAUUUAACAAUGGAAAUUAGUCCCAGACUGUAUUGUGUGUUAUCCUCCAUGAUUUAACAAUGGAAAUAAGUCCCAGACUUUAAUGUGUGUUAUCCUCCAUGAUUUAACAAUGGAAAUAAGUCCCAGACUGUAUUGUGUGUUGUCCUCCAUGAUUUAACAAUGGGAAUAAGUCCCAGACUGUAUUGUGUGCAUGUAUGGCUUUUUCAAGUGUUAUGUGUGCUUGUUUUUAAAAAUGCAUAAAUGUAACUAAGUUGUAGCUAGGAACACAAGAAUUUCUACACCCGCAAUAACAUCUGCUAAAUAUGUGUAUGCGACCAAUACAAUUUGAUUUGAUGAGGGAUAGUUUUACCUCAGUGUCUCCAAUUUCCAUUGUGGAUUCUCAAGUCCAGCACAGAUGAAUGUCACUCCUGAAUCCUCGAGCUAAUUUCCUCCAAAUCUAGCUUCCUCAUCCUUGACGUGCUUUAGCUGAGAGUUGAAGCCAGCACCUCAAAGGAUAUCUCAGUUAGGUUGCAAUCAUUCAACCUGGGAAGAGCGGAUGUGGCUAAGUAAUGCACACAAAUCCAUAACUACAUUUAUAACAUGAAGAAUGUACAUCUUUAUAUUUACAACAUCCACUUUCCUUUGCAGUGGAGACAGUCACAAAGUCACUCACUUCAAUUUCUCCAGUUUACAGUGUGGAUCCACCAGUCCAGCAGAGAGCAGCUUCACUCCUGAAUCCUGGAGUUUAUUGCCACUCAUGUCCAGCAGUCUCAGACAGCAUGAGUUUGAUUUGAGAACAGAAGCCAGUGCCUCAGCUUUUCUUGGGCUGUUCUAGGGGAUCUGACAACUGGGAGAAGUUUGAGAAGAGCCGCAUCUGAUCUGAUAUAUUUCUUCAGGUCAAACACAUCCAGCUUCUCUGAGGUCAGCAACAUGAAGACCAGAGCUGACCACUGUCCAGAUGAGAGUUUAGAUUUUGAGAGACUUCCUGAGCUCAGGUAGCUUUGGAUCUCCUCUACUAGAGAAUGGUCAUUCAGUUCAUUCAGACAGUGGAACAGAUUGAUGCAUCUCUCCAGACGGAGGUUCUUCCUGAUCUUCUCCUUGAUGUACUUGACUGUUUCCUUGUUGCUCUGUGAGCCACUUCCUGUUGGUGUCAGUAGGCCUUCUAGGAGAUGCUGAUUGGACUGCAGUGAAAGGCCUAGAAGGAAGCGGAGGAAAAGGUCCAGAUGGCCAUUUUCAAACUGCAAGGCCUUGUCCACUGCAUCUUCAUAUAGAUUUUUUUUGUUGCGGAGGGAUCUCUCUUUAGCCAUCAGAUUGUUGUUGUCAUUAGUGAACAUGAGGAACACAUAUAGUGCAGCCAGAAACUCCUGGAUACUCAGAUGUACAAAGCAGUACACCUUUAUCUGGUUCAGUAGUCCUUCAAAGUAUUUUUACUUCAGUACUUUAAACCACUGGGGCUGGUAGAGUUAUGGUUAUGGGUUCCUGACAGAGAGGUUGUACGUUUAAGUCCUUGACAAGGUAUGCUUUCUUGUAUUAUUUCCUUUGUGGCCUUGACAAUGUUGAGGUGGGUUUCGGAAGGACAUUGAGAAGGGAAAAAUGGGUUCCCAUCAGCUGCCAUUAAUACAGUAACACCUUGUAAAUAAUUUUGUUAGAGCUUUAAAAACAAAUGGUUUUCAAAUGUUUUUAUAGGAAUUGGAAUUUGGUUUCCUUUCUGAAUUGACUGAUAUUUAAAUGGUAUUGACCCCAACCUCUAAAGAAUACAAACCUUCUCUGAAAAGGCUACCUUUUCCUGGGGGCAUGUUUUGUAGACCAUUUAGAGGCGUUCUUAAUCCUGGUCUCCAUGAAGAUACCCACAUGUUAUGAUAGCUUUAAUAAGAGUAGUAGUGGUUAUGGUAGUGGAUUCCCAAAGGAGAGGUUGUGUGUUAAAAUCCUUGGAAGAGUAUGCCAACUUGCUUUUGUGGCAUUGACAGAACAAUGUUGAGGUGGGUUCCGGAAGGACAUUCGACAACAAGGGAAAUGGAUUAUAAAAUGUUAGGUUAUAGCAACUGGCGUUGAGUAGGAGUGCUGAUCUACGAUCCACUCCUACUUCAAGUCACCAAGGGAAUAUUGUGUCUGGGGUGCUAAAUGACUUGAACAGUGAUGAAAAAAUUUGCCAAUUCUCAUACUUGAGUAAAAGUAAAGGUACCUUAAUAGAAAAUUAAAAGUAAAAGUUGAAGUCACCCAGUAAAAUACUACUUGAGUAAAGGUGUAAAAGUAUUUGUUUUUAAAUAUACUUAAGUAUCAAAAUUAAACAAUUGCUAAUAUAUACUUAAGUAUCAAAAGUAAAUGUAUAAAUUAUUUAACAUUCCUGAUAUUAAGCAAACCAGAUGGCACCAUUUUCUUGUUUUUUUAUCUACAGAAAGCCAGGGGCACGCUCCAACACUCAGACAUCAUUUACAAACGAAUCAUGUGUUUAGUGAGUCCUCUAGAUCAGAGGCAGUAGAGAUGACCAGGGAUGUUCUCUUGAUAAGUGUGUGAAUUUGACCAUUUUCCUGUCCUGCUAAGCAUUCGAAAUGUAACAAGUACUUUUGGGUGUCAGUGAAAUUGUAUGGAGUAAAAAGUCCAUUAUUUUCUUUAGGAAUGUAGUGGAGUCCCAAGGCCAGUAGUUGAGAAGCAUUUCCCUCUAAAAAAAUGUCAUGACCCAUCUGAUAUAACUGUAUGAAAUGAUUUGAUAUUGUAAACAAUGAUGUGUAGAUGAAAUAUUUGUGAAAUAUGAAAACUGAAGAAAAAUACUAUAUAUAGAUGUAAACAGAAUGUAGUGGAGUAAAAGUUGUCAAAUUAUAAAUAAAGUACAGAUACACAAAAAAA